rnacentral:rRNA from 1 species
GUCUUUUUGAAUUAAAUUUAAAGUCUAACCUGCCCACUGAAAAUUUUAAAUGGCCGCAGUAUUCUAACUGUGCAAAGGUAGCAUAAUCAUUAGUCUUUUAAUUGAAGGCUGGAAUGAAUGGUUGGACGAGAUAUUAACUGUUUCAUUUAAAUUUUUUAUAGAAUUUUAUUUUUUAGUCAAAAAGCUAAAAUUAAUUUAAAAGACGAGAAGACCCUAUAAAUCUUAAUAUUUUGUUUAUUUUAAUUAUAAAGAUUAUUUUUAUUAUAAUAAAUUAAAAUAUUUUAUUGGGGUGAUAUUAAAAUUUAAAAAACUUUUAAUUUUAAAAACCAUUAAUUUAUGAAUAAUUGAUCCAUUAAUAAUGAUUAAAAAUUUAAGUUACUUUAGGGAUAACAGCGUAAUUUUUUUGGAGAGUUCAUAUCGAUAAAAAAGAUUGCGACCUCGAUGUUGGAUUAAGAUAUAAUUUUGGGUGUAGCCGUUCAAAUUUUAAGUCUGUUCGACUUUUAAAUUCUU